rnacentral:rRNA from 1 species
UUUGAUGUUCUAACGUGGACCCGUAAUCCGGGUUGCGGACAGUGUCUGGUGGGUAGUUUGACUGGGGCGGUCUCCUCCUAAAGAGUAACGGAGGAGCACGAAGGUUGGCUAAUCCUGGUCGGACAUCAGGAGGUUAGUGCAAUGGCAUAAGCCAGCUUGACUGCGAGCGUGACGGCGCGAGCAGGUGCGAAAGCAGGUCAUAGUGAUCCGGUGGUUCUGAAUGGAAGGGCCAUCGCUCAACGGAUAAAAGGUACUCCGGGGAUAACAGGCUGAUACCGCCCAAGAGUUCAUAUCGACGGCGGUGUUUGGCACCUCGAUGUCGGCUCAUCACAUCCUGGGGCUGAAGUAGGUCCCAAGGGUAUGGCUGUUCGCCAUUUAAAGUGGUACGCGAGCUGGGUUUAGAACGUCGUGAGACAGUUCGGUCCCUAUCUGCCGUGGGCGCUGGAGAACUGAGGGGGGCUGCUCCUAGUACGAGAGGACCGGAGUGGACGCAUCACUGGUGUUCGGGUUGUCAUGCCAAUGGCACUGCCCGGUAGCUAAAUGCGGAAGAGAUAAGUGCUGAAAGCAUCUAAGCACGAAACUUGCCCCGAG